CUAACGGCAAAGUUAUCGAAAGGUAAUGACGCAAAACUCUAGAGCCUAAGGUAUUUACACUAUGGUAGUCAGCUGC
rnacentral:ncRNA from 1 species